rnacentral:lncRNA from 1 species
UCUGGGCAUUCAGAGCCCAGAGCCUCACACUCUCCAAGGACGUUCCCAAUCACCAAGUCCAACGAUUCCAACCCCUUCCAGAAUGAAUCUAGAGACUCUUCCCAGAAGUUGAGUGCAAGACCCAGGUAGGAUCUUAUACUGAAAAGACGGCAACCUUCCUUGGGCACCUUGCUAAAGAUGAAAAUGAAACCCUGCUCGCACCCGCUUUUCAUUCCCAGACCCUGAGAGGGGGUGACCCUGUAGGGACCCCUGCACAAGCACAGAGCCUCCCUCCCAGCAGAGGAUUCCUUUGGCGGGAGCUCAACGGGGCACAACGCUGACCCCAGACCUGCGGUCUCACCAGCACCAUCUCCAGCCCACAGAGGCAUCACCCCAGGAUCCCUCAAAGAGUAACUUCACAGU